rnacentral:rRNA from 1 species
GAUGAACGCUGGCGGCGUGCCUAAUACAUGCAAGUCGAGCGAACAGACGAGGAGCUUGCUCCUCUGACGUUAGCGGCGGACGGGUGGGUAACACGUGGAUAACCUACCUAUAAGACUGGGAUAACUUCGGGAAACCGGAGCUAAUACCGGAUAACAUGUUGAACCGCAUGGUUCAACAGUGAAAGACGGUCUUGCUGUCACUUAUAGAUGGAUCCGCGCCGCAUUAGCUAGUUGGUAAGGUAACGGCUUACCAAGGCAACGAUGCGUAGCCGACCUGAGAGGGUGAUCGGCCACACUGGAACUGAGACACGGUCCAGACUCCUACGGGAGGCAGCAGUAGGGAAUCUUCCGCAAUGGGCGAAAGCCUGACGGAGCAACGCCGCGUGAGUGAUGAAGGUCUUCGGAUCGUAAAACUCUGUUAUUAGGGAAGAACAAACGUGUAAGUAACUGUGCACGUCUUGACGGUACCUAAUCAGAAAGCCACGGCUAACUACGUG